rnacentral:misc_RNA from 1 species
AUACUGACAUUAGAUCAUGCAUUAUUUAGGGGAGUUGCAAUGAUUGAGCACUCAACUUAUGUCCACUUUAAUUACAAAAUGAGGACGCAAGUCUUAGUCAAUUCGCAUAGAUCGAUUAUAUGAUUCCUCCUUUCUUUAGAUUUGAAAGAGUGACCAAGACUGUUCAGUGAAAGGAUUUAUGUUUCUUUCUGUGGCAGUUCAGGAGAAUAAAAGUUUGCAACUUUUUCCUGUUAGGUCAAGCCAUUCUGUUGUUUUUUGCAUUUGGCCUUUUCCUUUUAAUUUUGCAAGCAUUUCUUAUUGAAGGUGGCAUUAAUGAGACAGUGGUACAUGUUUUCAGUUUAGCAGUGCAUGUUGCGAUAACAAUUCUGAGCCUUAAAAGUUCCAUUUUGUGAUUGCUCAAUGAUUGAAAGAAAAUUUCCUUUCCUCUAUUCUGUGUUUAGAACUCUGCUAUAUGCUCAAAGCUGCUAGUCUUUCUUUGGCAUUAUAUUGUUUACAUCUGAAUACAUUUUGGUCACAUGGACAAGGAAAAGGCAAGGAAAGGAAACGUGAUGAAAUAAUUUGUUUCCAUAAUGGUGUUGUUUAGAAAUUGGCUACUCUGUAUUUUUUUUUUACACUGCAAUUUAGCUCCAUCUGGCACUUUGAUGUUGCAGAUAUGGCCUCCCAAGAGUG